AAAAAGAAAAAAGGGAAUGAAAAUAAAAAGAAGAGAUGAACACCUUCUUCUUUUUUGUUUUUGGUUUUUUUCCAUUUGCCUUGUUUCCAUCUCUUUCUGCUUCUACUAGCUAUUUUGA
rnacentral:ribozyme from 13 species